GAAAAUAUAAUAUUUAAAUACAAUACUAAAACAAAUCUCGCAAAUACCGACACGAACACUCCCAAAAUCCGGUGUCAGUGAGUACAUGAGCAUCUAAUAUGAAUACAAGUCUGGAAAAUAUGGUCUAUAAUAGUCUGAGACCAAAUAUAGUAAGCAAGGAGAUAGGGAAGGAGAGGCAAGGUCUGCGAAAUGCGGCAACUAUAUCUGAAUCUCCGAAAAAUCAACUAUGCAAAAGAAUCAACACCCGCUAUGUCCGAGAACACCUGGAUUUGCACACGAAGUGCAUGGUGUAGUAUUAGUACAACCAACUCAGCAAGUAAUAACAAUAAAUAAGGAACUGAAGAUAGUGAUGAGCUACACUGCUACAGUUCAUUUUCAGUAAUUCCACCAAAGAUUAGACAUGAUUUCAAAUCCAGCAGUUUAAGUCAAAUCAGUUUUAUACAGUUCAAGUUCAUGAAAUUCCGAUAAAAAAAAUUUCAGAAAAUUUUACAACAAUGUCAGAUAGCAACUAAGUGCAACAACAAAUGAAAACAAGUACACUCUCUCAGGGCAACAGUCACUCGACUCGUCACAACAGCUCAACCACUCGACUCUCAACCCUCAGCACUCACACUCAAUGGGCACCCUCGCUCACUGGGGGUGUAUAGACUCUAGAGGGGCUCCUACAGCCCAAGCGCUAUAAUCUGCACGGACAACUCACGUGCUGCACAGACAACUCACGUGCCAUAGUAUAAAUAUCUGGAUCUGCACGGGCAACUCACGUGCUAUAAUAUAAUAUAAGGAUCCGCACAGACAACUCACGUGUUGCACGAACAACUAACGUGCUAUAAUAUAAUAUAAGGAUCCGCACAGACAACUCACGUGUUGCACGAACAACUCACAUGCUAUAAUAUAAUAUCUCACAAUCAGCCACUCGGCCUCGCUCAGUCAUAAAUCUCUCCAGUCUCUCGGGCUCUCAUAAAUCAUGAAAUUAGCCCAAACAACAAUGAUAUGAUGCAUCAAUAAUGAACAAUAGAGACUGAGAUAAAAUAAUCAAGUAAACUGUGACUGAGUACAAAAUAAUAAUUAAGCAGAUAGUUCAACAUGUACACGACCUAUGUGGGUCCCAACAGUACCAGCAUAUAGCCUAAACAUGGUUUCUAACAUGGUUUAUAGUUAAAUUUCCACAACACAUAGAGAGCACGUAGCUAACAACAAGUUAUUCAACUUUACAAUAUCACGGGACGGAUCAAGUUACAAUCCCCUCGGUGCAUGCCCACACUCCCGUCACCUAGCAUGUGCGUCACCUCCAAAAUAAUCACAUGAUACAAAAUUCGGGGUUUCAUACCCUCAAGACCAGAUUUAUAACUAUUACUUACCUCAAACCGUGAAAUUCUUGUUCCGCUAAGCCUUUGUCUCAUGAAUUGGCCUCCAAACGCCUCGUAUCUAGCCACAAAUAAUUCGAUUCAGUCAAUAAAAUUCAUU
rnacentral:lncRNA from 1 species